rnacentral:misc_RNA from 1 species
AAGCAUUCGAAAGACAAUAAAAGAUGAACUAAUAGGUUACAGUGCUAUCAUAUACCAUUUUGCCCCAUGCCAACCCACACGAUUUACCUAUUCUUCUCCACACACUUCAACAGCAAGCAGCGUCAUGCAAUUAUUCUUGUAUGAAGUAACCAUUUCUAUGUGCCAAAACCUUAAUGCAAUUGCAACAGCCCUCUGAUUCUUUUAACCAGUACGCAUGCCACCAAGCUUUUACACCUACUAUCUUAGAUAUCCAUCGAAGAGUCAUUGGAACUAACAGGAUUAGGAUCCCUGUUCUGGUGCUGAAGAAAGUUGGG